rnacentral:rRNA from 1 species
UACGAAGGGGGCUAGCGUUGUUCGGAAUUACUGGGCGUAAAGCGCACGUAGGCGGAUACUUAAGUCAGGGGUGAAAUCCCGGGGCUCAACCCCGGAACUGGCCUUUGAUACUGGGUAUCUCGAGUCCGGAAGAGGUGAGUGGAAUUCCGAGUGUAGAGGUGAAAUUCGUAGAUAUUCGGAGGAACACCAGUGGCGAAGGCGGCUCACUGGUCCGGUACUGACGCUGAGGUGCGAAAGCGUGGGGAGCAAACAGG